CUGUAACUGUGGAUUAAGAACAGAAGUAUUCUUAAGGUACAGAUAAGAUUCAUUUAUUCCUUACUUCAGAGUGCUAACUUCUGGGAAUGAAAGAAUGAAUAGGGAAAAUGUGGUUCUCAUAAUCAUGGAACAUAUAGUGAGGCAGAGAGUGCAUCAUUCCUUAAAAUAUUAGUAGCUCUGAUUUGUCUUUAAAAAGCAAAAAAAAUUCCACUGAUCAUCUAACCUAGCCUGGUCACCCUCCACUUUAUUCCUGAGUUUCUCCAAAUACAUUUUUUCCUUUUUUCCUUUAUUCCUUCUUCUUUUCGAGCCAUUCUUCUUACUAUUGUUUGGCUGAUCUUCCAAGGACAAUUUUUAAUUACAUUCAUCUAUCCCUAUUGAUCCAGGCUCUAGCACAAUGACUCAUGAAGUUGCCAUGACUACUGGUCAUUGACACUUUACAUCUGAUGAAUGAAUUCUCUGUUUGACACCCUUGUCUUCUUAUAGUCCUUCACAUCCAAUCUUAAUUUCUUUUGAGAUAAUCCCUAAAAUCCUUAUUCUCUACCACUUACUGAUAUAAACGUUUUUCUGUUCCCUUCCAGCAUAAAUCAUCUCUCCAUUUCCUGACCUCUUCAGUAGGCGUGGAUUACAUGAGGUUAUACAUCUUUCAAUGAAUAGGACACCUGUGUUGUGGCUUUUUUCCCUUUCUCUUCAAAGCUGUAAUGGCAGCUGUCCAACCCAGAAGCAAGGCUGUCUGGUGGUCCUGUGGUAGUUCUGGUAUAACCUUCUGAGGAGUGGACAAAGUCUCCAUACUCACUUCUGUGAGCAACACUUGUGUGAUAAACUGACAAUACUUCAGGGGGCCUGCUAGGACUGUAGAGAUGUGCUUUGAAGGAAUGCACAUUAUUUUAACAUUUUCAGGAUAAGCAAAUAAUAAUUGAAGACAUAUCAGACAUUAUCUACCAGUUGGGUUUGAUGACCUUUACCCCUUCCCCAGUCUCCAGCUUCCUUUUGAAAGAUGUUUUGAGAAUUUCCAAAACAUUUCCCUCUAUAUUUAGAAUGACAUCAGUACAAGAACAUCUGUAUAUCUUCCCAUUUUAGCAACAGUAUCACAUUUUUUAAAAAUAAAAAGAUGCAAAACACAUUGGAAAGAAAAAAGCAUAGAUGGAGGUGAUUUUAUAUUUAUGUAUUAUUUACCUUCCAAAUACCUUAAUACAAUAUUUUGUGUGAAGGAGAACAUUAGAAUUUAUUUGAAGCAUAAUACACUCUUAAGCC
ensembl:lncRNA